rnacentral:rRNA from 1 species
AAAAAGACACUGCCGCCGCAAGGUGUGAGGAAGGUGGGGAUGAUGUCAAAUCUGCACGGCCCUUACGUCCGGGGCUACACCCGUGUUACAAUGGCCGGUACAGAGCGUCGGAGGCCCGCAAGGUCCUUCCAAUCGUUAAAUCCGGUCCCAGUUCGGACUGGGGUGUGCAACCCGACCCCACGAAGCUGGAUUCGCUAGUAAUCGCGCAUCAGCCAUGGCGCGGUGUAUACGUUCCCGGGCCUUGUACACACCGCCCGUCAAGCCAUGAAAGCCGGGGGUGCCUGAAGUCCGUGACCGCAAGGAUCGGCCUAGGGCAAAAAAAGGUGAUUGGGGCUAAGUCGUAACAAGGUAACCGUA